ensembl:lncRNA
CCCAAGUUCGAUCCCUGGUACCAAAAAAACAAAAAGAUAAACCUCUUGCCUCUAUCACUAAAACUAAAUACUGUAGAACAGUUUUUAGGCUUGAAAGGAGGGAGUGUGACUUAGUAGUAGAGUGCAUGCCUGGCAUGUGUGAGUUCCUGGGUUCCAUCUCCAGUACCAUUAAUAAAGUUUUUAGGCUCACUAGAUGGGUAUUUGUCAUCAAGAAGGUGGGUAAGAAAAUACAGCAUUGAAACUUGUCUGUUUUGAGUAAGAAAAUGCCAAAGGUGGACAAAUUAAGUGGGUGUUUUAGGAGAGAAGGAAUUGACCACACGACAAAUUUCCUAGCCUGGUAAGCCAAUGUGUGGGAGGCUACAGAUGGUAGUUGGUAAUUUAUGUGAAUUGGACUGAGUCUAACUUUAGUCCUAAAAAUUUUAGCUCUGGUGUCUGUUUAAUAGUUGAACUUUGCCAAAAGGCACUCAAGCUACAAAUGUGAAUCCAGAAUUAAAAGAAGGGUUCAGUUUAUACUGUAGAGAUACUGAAAGCAUACGAAAAGUGUUCUGUUAGGGACCCUUUAUGUGGAAGUUUGGGAUAAGCUGUAAGAAUGGAUUGCAAGAUCUGCGAAACAAAGUAAACCUGCAUCCUUUAAAUGGGACUUGAAAGUUUUAGGCUAACUUUGACAGUUAAUGUGGCACAUCUUGAUACUAGGAAUGUAGAGGGUUUUUUUAAGGAAUGUAGCAUAUUGGUUAAUAAUACAGUGAGCAUAUUGUACAACAAGGCCCACAACAGCUCCUUUGUUCUUUGCUGUAGUAAACUACAGGGUGAUAGUCAAGUUCUGUAUUUAAGCAUAAUGUCAUUGUAUCCAUGACUUAGGCCAAAUCAGAAAUUUGUUUACUUGGCAAAGAGAGUUCUUAAAAGAUUUACUAUUUGGAUUUUUUCCAUCUCCAUUUGCUAUUCCCAAAUUAUUGUUUUUGUGUGUACUUAAAUCCAAUACUGAAUUACUACCUCAUUUGCUGAAGUUUUGUUGGUUUUUUGGGGGGUACCUGGGAUCGAACUCAGUUCCUUGCACUUGCGAGGCAGGCAGCGGAACCACUGAGCUAAAUCCUCGGCCCGUACUGAAGUGUUUUAAGUUGAUCUCAGCAACUGUUCAUCCUGGUUGUCAAGUCUGACCUUCCUCAAACAUUGUCACUCCCCUCAUAUGAAUCAAUGAUGGAUUGGUUAUAUUUUGCUUUAACAAUUUAUCAUUAUUUUUUAAAAUUUAUCACUAUUCUUAAACCACAUCUUCUGGUCUGGUAACUAUUUUGUUGGCCAUGUCAGGUUUUGCUUCUGUGUGUCUACUUACAUCCUUCCUUACCCGCUGCCACCAAGCAGUCUUCAGCUGCUUCAAAUCCAAACAUUCUCAAAGAUUUGGCUUAAGUCGCACUUAAAAAGAAUGCUGCUAAAAUCCUUUAAUACCUCUUUUCAACAAUAUGCAUUUAGUUCCCUUGCUAUUUCUUAUUAAUGUUGAAUUUUCUGUGGGUUAAAUAUUUGGACCCAAUGGAAUUUUUGUAAUAACUUGUAAUUCCCAGUGAGCUAAGCGCAAUGCUGACAGUUUAACAAAUUUUGUCAAGUAGAAAUAACCUAAUACUCCUUGAGAAGCAAAGUGCUGUAGAAGUCUUGUGUUUUAUAAAAUAUUGGUUAAUUCAAUUAUUGAAAAAAUAUUUUAAUCCUAAUAUUGGAUCAAAUAAUUCCUCAUUAGAUGUGAAGCCAGGAAAUUCAGAUUUAAAUGCUAGCCUGGUUUCACUGUGUAGUUCAGGAUGACUCUGUGUGUGUGUGUGUGUGUGUGUGUGUGUGUUUUGAGACAGGAUCUCACUAUAUGGUUCAGGCUGGUCUUGAACUCACUAUGUGGCUCAGGCUGGCCUCAAACUCACUGCAAUCCUCCUUGCCUCCGCCUCCUGAGUGCUGGGGUUAUAGGCAUGCACCACCACGCCUGGCUCAGGUUUUGUUUUUUUUUUUGUUUGGUUUUUAUUUUAACUCACUAGGCCAGGCUGAUACCAAACUCACAGUGAUCCUCCUGCCUCAGCCUUCUCACAGCUGGGAUUACAGGUGUGCCCCACCAUGCUCACUCAACCUGAGAAGGUAUAUGUUGCUCCCAAAACUGGACUUAGAAUGUAGAAAAGUUUUGUUGUAAGCUGUGCACACUUAUUUCAGUAUAGAUUACCAAGAAUUGAUGGUAUUGUCUCCUCAAAAACCAAACAGCUUCUUUUGCGGCUGCCUCUUGGAUCUUUAAGUCAUCUUUUUCUUGGGCAUGAUUCUUUCAGAGGAAGCUUUAAAUUGACUCCGAAUUUACUGGCGCUGCCUCAAUCAGAAUCUCUGAAAAUUUCUCAGCCUGUUGAGUUUGAGCUAUUUUGUUCUUUUUUGAAAUCAUGUUCCCACCGGCUUGAAACACCAGUGGUACAUACAUGACUGUCCCAUUGGGCAGCUUUUUAUUAAUUCUAUUAAAAAGAUGAUUAAAAAAAUGAUAAAAGUGACUAGAUACAUUUGUACCACCAGUGAUACAAGCUGCCCAUGGGACAGCCAUGCAUGGUUCAAGCUGCCCGGCAGUGAGAGAUACAAAUUAUAGCCCCAUCAUGAACGUGUUAACUCCAUGUCCUAGCCAAUGCUGUGUGCCGCAGCAGGCUGUUUGUAUCAUUGAAAAGCUCUAAAAGGUCCACCAUCACUUCUAGGCCCUACAAGUAGCUCCACUCCUUUAGCUAUUAAAGUUCUGGCUCUUCUUGAUUAGCUAGUGACAAUCAUUUUUAAUAUUUUUAUUAGUUUGCAAUACAUAUGAUUACAUCAUGGCAAGUUGGCACAUGUACAGACCUCAUCCUUUUAUGUCUCCUCUCCUGACUCAGUUAUUCUUGAAAUAAUUGCACUUCAUUUCUGCUUUGGCUUUCUUCGCCAUGUUUAUAUAGUGCAUUUAUUUUAUUUUUUAUAUUUUGGUACUGGGGAUCAAACUCGGGAUCUUGCACUUGCAAGGCAGGCAGCGGAACCACUGAGCUAAAUCCUGGGCCCCUAUAUAGUGCGUUUACAUGUCCACUUUAAGCUGUACUUGAUAGUUGUUUCGUGUAUAUUUUGUUUCUUCCAGCUACAUAGUGAACUCUUGGGGCUAGUAUGUUAGGGAAAUCUGAGGCAAGUAUGCUGUGUAGUUUAGAUCUGAGAUGCAGGUGCCCCUCUGAUCAGAUUGGGCUUAUUCUCAGUAGUAAUCUCAAGGGUUCCUGUCCUUGCUACUUUUUUAGUGGAAAAUUUUUGAGGAAGAAAGUGCAAAACCAUAGGACAAAUACCUGAUGUUUUCUUAAAGUAAUGCCUGUUUUACAGAGUAUUUUGACGUGUGUGUGUGCGUGUGUGUGUGUGUGUACUGGGGAAUGAACUUGGGACCUUGCACUUGUGAGGCAGGCGGUGGAACCACUGAGCUAAAUUCCCGGCUAUUUUGACUCAUUUUAAGCCUCAAGUGCUAUUGGCCUCAUUUUUCAUUGAAGGAAAAGCCUGAGAUUUUAAAUUGGCAGGCUCAAAAUUUGAAUGCAAGUCAUAUUUACUACACUAUUGCUUUUUGAGGUUUCUCCAGGGGAGAAUGAUAAAUCUGUGAACACUACCUGUAGUAGCUACCUGAUGCCACCAGGGUGUCCCAUGGUGCUGUGGUUGAUAUUCUUACCCUGAGAGCUGGGGACUGUUCCAACUACAUCUUGUUAGAGUGGCUUAUGGCUCAGAGCCUGGCCCCAAACAAUGGAAUACUUGGCUUCCUGGCUUUCCAGUGUACAGUGCACAGCCAGCCCUUAGAAGCCCUUGCCCUGUUUUUACUCCUAGUCAAACUGCCCCCACAGCCAGUGGGUCACAGAGUAGUCAAGGGCUGGCUAGCCCCUCAGUAACAACACAGCAACCCCUCAGAAGACAUUAGCAUACAAAAGAACCUGUGAAUGGUAAAUGUCUAUGAACAUCAGUGUUUAGUAGCUGAGUAUACAGUUCAACAACUUUGUAUUAGUAAACUAGAACCAUAGCAAAACCAGAUUGAAUUAACACUAUAUGUAGAUGAAUAUUACUACUCUUUUGGGGUGGGGCUUUUUGAAACAGUCUAUAGUCCAGGCUGGCCUUGAACUUGUAGUGAUCCUCCUGCCUCAGCCUGUUGAAUGCUGAGAUUACAGGUGUGUGCUGCCAUGCCUAGCUUAGGUAGAUGAAUAUUAAAAGUCAUCGGCAAAUGCACUUUCCAGUUUGCAAUAAAAAUGUUUGUAUUAUACUUAGCCUGAGUGUGCAGCCUUCUAGCAUGAGGGUGUUUUUUUGUUGUUUUUUUUUUUAUUGGUUGGUUUUUUAGUAGUAGAAAUUGAACCCAGGGCCAUGCAUGUGCUAGCCACUACCACUGAGCUACAUUCUCAGCCCUUAGAAUCAUUUUUUAUAUUCAAUAAUCUUAGAUGUCAAAGCUAUCUCUUAUGAGAGAGCUAAUAGGAUGAAGUCUCAGGUUUGGUAUUAAGGAGAAAAUACAAUCUUUAAAAUUUGCUGUUCAAGCACUUUGUACUAGUGUGUAUAGCUAACUGGCUUAUAAUUAUUUCUUUACGAGUCUUGAUUUCUGCAUUGGAGAAGAUCCUUAAAAGUAUUUCCAGUGGCCAGCAUAGCUCCUGAGAAUUAGUAAGUGCUCAAUAUUUACUGGAAUAACGUUUCCAUAGUAGUUCUGAGAUAGUUCUACAUAUGGGAAGAGGUCUUUGUUUUUGUCUUCAAGCCAAUUAAAAUUCAUUUUGAACUGGAAAGUGCGUUGGAUGUCCUGGCCUUUUGAAAGGCUGAGUUCAUUGUUUAAUGUUGGAGUUCUCAUCAUGGCCUGAGUUUGAGUCUGUGUUUAAGCUGUUUCUCUUUAGGUAUCACCUAUGUGCUAUCCUAGGACUGGUUGGUUACCCGGCUUUUCAGACUCCCAGGAAUAAACUACUGAUUCUAGCUAUUGAACUUGAGGUCCCCCUUUCCCCUCUCUCCUCCCUGCUUUCUCACAUGAGUUUCCAGCCUGAAACUUGUUCAAGACAUGGUUUGUUUGGGUUUGUUUUUGUUUAUGUAAUUGUUUCUGCUGGGACUAGUCCAGUGGCCACAUGCACGGUAACUACACACUUUACCACUGAGCUAUGCCUCAGCCCUAUACCUACUCUUUUUUUUUUUUUUUUUUUUUUUGGUACUGGGGAUCAAACUCGGGUCCUUGCGCUUGCCAGGCAGGCGGCAAAACCAAUGAGCUAAAUCCCGGGCCCUACCUACUCUUUUUUUUUUUUUUUGUACCGGGGAUCGAACUCAGGACCUUACACUUGCGAGGCAGGCGCCAGAAUCACAGCUAAAUCCCUGGCCCUCUACUCUUUUUAAUAAUCAAGUAAACUUUGAAUUUUCAUAGAUCUCUGGUAAGUGGACUAAUCAGAUUAUAGAUUAUAGUACUAACUUGGACUGUUCUUGGACACUAUGGUUUUCUUAGGUCAUCAGAGUGACCGCUUCAGCUAAAUAAAUAUACAGAACAUAUAUGGGAUUUCUUUGAGCUUCAUUAUUAGUUUCACUAUGUGGGAGAUCUCUGGUACAAAUAACCCUCUUUCCUUUAAGAAAUAUUUUAGAGAUUUUUCCAUCCCAUGUUUUAUAUCUAGUUUAAUAAAUUGAUUUUAAAAUAUUAUUUCCUAUGUGAGGAAUAAUAUAUUCUGCCUUUCCCAUCUAAAGUGCAAAUUACUAAAAGGCAGAAAUGUGUAUUAUAACUCUUGAGGUGCCUGUUUCUGAACUUGUUUUAUACCUGAUGCGCGGGAGGUGUUUUCUCUAGCUUCAUUGAUUAUGUGCCAUCUGUUCUGUGAGCAUUCUUUGCAGAAAGAAAGGGGAGAGAACGUGAAAGGAGAAGUGGAGAGAAGCUGGAGAAGAAGAAAUAGCUGGAAGCUUGGGAAUUGGGGGAUUUACCUAAGGAAUAGAGAAAUCUCCACCUGAACAUCCAGUUGGCUCAGUGGAGAAGAAACUAACAUGUUUUUGUGGGAGUUUGGGUGGAGAUAUUCACUAAAUAGGUUUUUGCCCUGCCCUGCUCUUUAUAGGAACAUUGGAGCAGGCCUUACAAUUAAUAAUUUUUUGCGCAUGAAGAGCAUAGGUGUUUUUUUUCAUAAAUUAGGCUUUUGUUUUGUUUUUUGAGGUAGUCUCACCAUGUAAUCCAGGCUGCCCUGAAACUCACUGUUUAGCCUAGGCUGGCCUUGAACUCAUGUUUAAUGUCAUUAUACCCUUCCUUUUUUAAUGUAUUUGGGGUGAAGGCUAUAGUACUGAGAAGAGGUUCACCUCUACAUCAGAAUAGCUUUGUGUAAAGAUUUAAUGUUUAUGACUUUGAGCAUAAUGUUGUGACUCAAGCUAAGCUUUGUAGUUUGGUUCAGGCCCACCAAGUAUGUGUGACUGUUAAGUGUCAAUUAUUUUUUUCAAGCUCAGCCAUUACCCCAAGCCUAGGGCAUCUAAGGGCAGUGAGGAACAGGUGUCCAAAGGAGAAAUGCUGGUGCCUGAGAAUGUGUUUUCCAGUUGUAUUGAAUUUCUUACUUGGUGUAUUUUUGACUUGUCUUGGUUUCUUUCCUGCUUGUGGCUAUGCCAUUUUGCUUGCUAUUUGCUAGGUAUUCUCUGUCAAGUCACUCAAGAGUUGUAAAAUGGUUCGAUCACUGGUACCAAAAAAAAAAAAAAAGUUGUAAAAUGGAAAUUAGUGUUUCUACACAAAUGCUUUAUGGAUGAAACUGAUAGUUUUUUUGUUUGAAACUGAUAGUUUUAGCAUUGUUUUUUUCCCCCAGCCAAGAAAAGUUAACAUGAUAAAUGUAUUUGUGACUUUGGACUGAUUUUUAGAAUCUUGAAUGUAUGAACCUUUUAAGAAAACAAUAGUUUUUAAUAAACCCUCAACUACAGUUUGAACUGUUUACUUGGAAUGGGUAGGUUUGUUCUCUUUCCUUUUGUCUAUGAAUGUUCCAUCUGACAACUUAAAUAGGUAUUCAGGAAAAGUAUUGUUUCCCCUUCUUACCUUGCCAACUAGUUAAAACAGACAUCUAAUGAUAACACUUUAGGGAGUAGAAUCGAAAUACAAACCCAACUUUGAUGGCACCAUGGACCACAGGCAAGUGGCUUUAAGCUCUCAGUGUGACUAUCAAACUCAGGGAGUAUAAUGGAAGAGGGGUUGACUUGUGCUUUCCUCCCAGAGAAGCCUGGGGGGCAGUGAGGGACAGGAGGGCGGUGGUCCUUCUGGUCUGGUAGGGUGGGGGUGUUCUUCCUUCUUCCUGAUUCCACUGAGGCUGAUAUUUGGAGGGUACCUUUUCUAGCCGGGACUUUUUGGUAUUUGAAAUAUUACAGUCUUUGUUUUCACUAGUACAUUUGUUGUCAGUUUUGGGUUUGUUUUUCAUGAAGUUAGUCUAUUAGCUUGCCAAUUUGAAGUUGUUUUAUAACUAGAUAUUCUCUACUGAAAGUUUUAAAUUUGGUUUGUUUUUUUUUUUUGGAUUAGUAAACAGUCAUUUCUGUAGACAAUUCCUAAUUGAAAAUAGCAGAAUUGUUUUAUAUUCCUAGGAUUCUAAGUCUAACCUAGAUCCUUAAUAUACUCACAGGACUUUUAAAACCCUUUCCUAACUAGGAAGGAAAUACCCUGUUGCUUUCAAAUACUGUACUUUAUUUGCCAAAAGUUGUCUUUAGAAAAACAAAUCUUAAUAGGCAUCUUCCUCUGUCAAGUGUCAGCCCUUUGGCCAUUUACCUUAGGGCUCUUCUAAUGAGAGAGGCAGAGAGAAAACCUGUCUCUGAAAGUUUGAAGACUAAUUUGUUGCCUCACGGGUAAGCUGAGUUUCCACCCCCAGAGUUAAUCUAGAACCACUCAGCACCAUCAAUAGAGAUAUUUACUUAACACUAUUAUAUUUUAGGAAUGUUCUAAGAGGGUUUUUUUUGUUUUUUUUGGUACCAGGGAUCGAACUCAGAUCCUUGCGCUUGUGCAGCAGGCGGCGAAACCACUGAGCUAAAUCCCCAGCCCUCCUAGAGAUGUUAUGAGAAAGAUUGCUAGGGAAAGGAUUUCUAGAUCUGAGGAUAAGAAACUGAAGAGACUCCAUAAUAUCAUCAUUAGAAAAAUGGUAUUCAAGCUGGAUGUGGUGGCUCAUGCCUGUAAUCCCAACACUUGGGAGGCUGAGCCAGGAGGAUUGCCAUGAGUUUGAGGGCAGCCUGAACUACACAGUGCAACUGUCUCAGAAAGGAAAGAAAAAAUGAUAUUCACUAUGUGUGCUAGUCUUUCUAAUCCUGAAGCUUCAUUUUCACCAGUUUGAAAGGCAGCAGCUAAGGUGGAGAGUCUUAGAGGAGGAGGAAAACAGGAGAAUGCAGUACAGGAAACUUGAAGUGAAUGUGUUAAGACAGGGAAGCUGCAGAGACUGUCCACUGAAUGAAAAUAAAAAGAUAUGCAAUGUUCAAAUCAAAGCAAAAACAUAAAGAUCUUCGUUUACCUUGCUAAUUCCUUAGGUUUGCAUCUUAGUUCCCUCCUUAGCUUGCAUGUACAUAUAAACUUAGGCUUCCUAAGCCAUAUUUUCUGUCCAAAGGAGAAAAAUGGACAUUUAUAGGAGACAGGCAGCAAUCACUGUAGUUUAGCUGAGGAAUGUAUCAGAAACUCUUCGUCAUUUUCUGUCCCCCUCUUAGGCUGACCAGUUUCCUGGUGUGUUACCUGCUUCUGCUACUGAUCCAAACUGCAGAACUUAUUCAUCCCCAUGGCCUCCAGACAGUAUCCAAUGGGGAAUCCGAUCUAAAAGGAACCAGACCUACGUUUUCCAGCCCUUCAUUCUGGUGACUGAUGGAAGGAAGGAAGGGGAGGGGGAAUAUAGUCGUAUACAGAAUGAAAAAGAAACAGACUGUCAAAUUAUUGUACCUCUUUACCUUAGUACUCACCAGCCAUAUUAAUUACAUUGUUUAAGUAUUUGGGGAAGUUGGAGAUGACCAGCAUCAGACGUGACUGGAUGGGAGUAAAUGGAGGGAAUGAGAUAAGAGUUGAUUUUGAAAGAUGCUGAUGUUUUGAAAUAAUGUACCCAUCUGAGGAUUUUUUCUUUUAAGUUUAUAAAAAUACCAUUGAUAUAGCCUGUCCCCUCACUUCCCCACCACAGGUUUCUUGGACUGGAGACAUUUCUUUAAUAAUAGCGUGUCUCUGAUAUUCCCAGUAACAACUACUAUCGAGGAAAGGAUAGAAAACGUUCAGGACAUCAUCAUAUAGACUCCUCAUCUACAAAGUUCAGUAACGGUGACGCCUACACAGAAGACUUGGAACUGCAAACAGGCUGGGGUCACCUCAGUGACAUCUCUUGAUGCACAAACAGAAGUUUGAUUUUUGUUUCGGGGGUGCAGAAGGAAGCAGACUGUAGUAAAACACUAAAGUAAUUUUAUGUCUA